rnacentral:lncRNA from 1 species
GGCUCUCCUGGUACCAAUGGGGUCAAAGGAGACAAGGUGACUACCCAGGCUCAUCCGCUCUGUGCAUACCUGCCAUCUUAGUAAAAAGGCACCCUUUCUGUCAGUCUGAAUAAAUGUGUGCCAAACUUGUAAAGGGAAUUGAUGUCUUCUCCGUUGCCAGGGGGAAGUUGGUGUUGGCGUUCCUGGUCUCAGAGGAGAAAGAGGAGAUCCGGGACCCAGAGUAAGACAUCAGUUAUGCCCAUUUAUAGUCUGUUUCAUUUUAUGGUCCCCUAAAAAGAAAACUGUUUUGAUGUGUUUUUGAAGGAUGAAAACCAAUAUUAUAGGCCUUUGUUGUGUCAUAACUAUGCUUUGUUUUAGGGAGAGGAGGGUCGGGCCGGCAUAGACGGAGAGAGAGGUUCAACGGUAAAUAUUAAGGCGCCCUUCUUUUUUGCAUUUCAGUAUCUCUCACAGUGCUUUUCCUAUUUUUUAGCACAAAGCAUGGAAUGAUGAAAGGAGCAUGUAAGCUUAAGUCUCAAUACUGAUAACAAUUAACAAAAGACGAGCAUUUUUCAUUUCCGGGACUGCAAAAAGAAAAAAAAAGAAAAACUCAUUCAGAGGGUUGUCGUCCUCCUCUGUGGUGUAAUUUCCAAACACCAGCAUCUAUAAUGAAGCCUGCAUUUCUUAGCUGCACACCCCAGUGAGUCAUGGCAUUGUGGAUUCUUUCAUGUCUCAGGGCGAUUUUUUAAUAUUUGGUCAUUUAGCAGAAGCUUUUAUUCAGAGCAGUCGACCAGGUUUGUCACAGUCACACAUCAUUAUUCGGUGCCUAACCAAGAAAAAUGGUGAUAUUGACAGAACCAGGCACCCUGCAGACAUUUAUAUGUUCAGUCAGUGUAUAAAAAGAGUUGAUGUGUGUCUGUUUGUGUGUUUAUCAGGGACCCCCAGGAAGUCGAGGUGCUCGUGGGGAGAAGGGAGAUUUGGGGCCUCAAGGUGAGAAAGGAGACAAGGUUUGUGCCUUUUAAUAUCUGAUCAACUCUGUUUGUGUUUUAACAGUUGUGUUAGCAUUUGUUUUCAGUUUUGUAAUAAAAGAUUUAGAUAAAUAUUUGAAACAAAAAGCUAAAGAAUUAAACUUGUACCUAAUGUGGUUGUUUAUGGAUGAAUGAAGGCUCAAUGACCCACUCUGAUCACCUUUGAUGAUCUUUUUUAACGUUAUCACACCUGGCGUCCACAAGCUUGGACAUCACAUUUUGAGUACAUGUG